rnacentral:lncRNA from 1 species
GGUCUUGUUUAUCACACAAACAGUAACGGAAGAACCAUAGGGCUUAUGCUACAGUCUCACUGGUCGCUGUGAUCUCAAGGUUACCCACUACAUGUACAAUGAUGGUUAAAUUUACCAGACCGACUGCAUUUUUGAAGGUAAAAAAAAGUGUCUAAUGCAGCUGCCAUUUUUGUGCCUAAUUGAUAAAAGAGUCUGAUUGUUUAUUGUCUAUCGUCUCUUAUAAAAUCUUUGUUUUGUUGUUAAUAAUUGUUUCCAUCUAUAUUAGAUUAGUACACCAAAUUGCUUCUUUUAGUGUCAUGGUAACAAAUGACGUAAUGCUUUUAUGCUAGAGGAAAAGUAAAAUAACUGAAGAAUUAAUGGAUCUAUGAUUUGUAUGUCUUUAUUGCAACUUUAGAUAAGAUCUGGCAUUUUCAAGUGUGAAAGUAUAUUCUUAAACAGCAUGACACUUUACAACAGGCUUAUUGAUGUUGAGAGGCCUAUGUUUGUGACCUUUACACCUCUCAUGAACAUACAAAAUCUCUAGACUUUUCAUUUGUCCGAAGUCAAUAACCUUUAUCCUCACAACACAUAUCAAACAACAGUGUCCUAUGCUAAAAAUGUAAUUUUCUGCUCAGAGAAUAUUUCUUUGGACAUUUGAGCCACUUAGAUUUUCUAUUAAUUACGAGUUUUGGUUUACUCUUUUAAUAAGAGUGUCUUUUGGAUAUUCAUUGUGAUUUAAGUCACACUGUUUACUAGUACUAAUUUAAUUUAUGCUCAAAAUUUGUCAUCCCACCUAAUGAUUAUUUAAACACCACAAUAUAUGCUUUCUGACGCAUCGUCUCGUGUAGUCUAUGUGUUGUUCGAUAGAGACCCCAUCGUUUUUUUAUACUGGAAGAUUAAAGGCUUAACGCUUUCCCCUCUUUUUGUUUUUUAACUUCCUGUUCCGUUUCAACUGACCAGAAAAAUCGAAUCUUUUGUUCAACAAUAUACUAAUAAUUCAAGAAAUAACCUCGUUUUGUUGAAGUCGUCUCUUACAAUCACACACUCUCCUGCGACAAGACUUCUGAUUUUAUGGUCCAUGACUGCUGUGUAGUCCAAUUUCCUCGAAACAUCUCCUUACGUGGAUUAUUCUCGUACAUGUAUUUUUUCACAGUUCUUGUAGGCAUUUCACUGUUAACCAAACAACAAUUUUUCCGAAACCAUUAGCUACCCACAAACAUAUGAACAUCAACAAUUCAACCCAAAUCCUCAAAAACUUUAACAGCAAACCACCAAGUGGUCUGUGAAAACACGCGUUCCUUUGUUUAACAAGAGUGUGAACAAAAAAAAAAAAAGAGGUCAAAAAAGUAAUAUUUGUUUUCUAAGACAAUCAUAUGCAAAAUAAAACAAGUGUAGUCUCGAAAUGACUAAACAAUGACCCCAUUGAAAUCGCACUAAGGCAAGUAGUCCUCUCACUUUCAAACGUUUCUUCCAAAUUUCUUCUGCAUUUACAGAAAAGUCAAGUUUGGUGGUUUGUUCCUCUCUCAUUGCUAAUUGGUGGGCUAUUCAAUGAAAUCCACCAAAACACAUUACUACUCCCACCAAAAACGAAUCUUCAUUGAAAGCAAAAUAAAAAAACUCACAUCAUUUUCUCUAACCUAGUCAUAGAGACAAAAGACUAGUUUACUAUUUUUACCUCUCUGGUAGGAAAAACAAAGGAAUCACUCUCUGUUUCAAAGAGUCAUGGUGGUUUCAGUGAGCAUACGUCGUCGUUUUGUUCUUCUUCUACUUGCAGUCACUUGCUUGAGACUCUGUUUUGGUGAGGAUAGAAUCACGUUCUCUACUCCGAUCAAAGACUCAGAUUCAGAUACCCUUCUCUGCAAAAGUGGUAUUUUCAGGUUUGGUUUCUUCACCCCAGUUAAUUCCACUACUCGGUUACGUUAUGUUGGGAUUUGGUACGACAAGAUUCCACUUCAAACUGUGGUUUGGGUUGCUAAUAAGGACACUCCUAUCAACGACACUUCCGGUGUUAUCUCGAUCUAUAAAGAUGGAAAUCUCGCUGUUACCGACGGUCAGAAUCGCCUUCUGUGGUCGACGAACGUUACAGUACCAGUGGCUCCGAAUGCUACUUGGGUUCAGCUAAUGGAUUCUGGUAAUCUUAUGCUACAAGAUGACAGAAACAAUGGUGAGACCCUUUGGGAGAGUUUUAAGCAUCCUUAUGAUUCUUUCAUGCCAAGAAUGACUCUUGGGACCAACGGUAUAACCGGAGAGAAUCUAAAGCUUACUUCUUGGAGAAGCCAUGAUGAUCCUUCCACAGGGAACUACACAGCUGGUAUUGCUCCUUUCACGUUUCCUGAGCUUCUUGUCUGGAAGAACAAUGCUAUAUCCUGGCGUAGCGGACCUUGGAACGGUCAGGUUUUCAUCGGUUUACCGAAUAUGGAUUCUCUUCUGUUUCUUGAUGGGUUCAAUCUUAACAGUGAUAAUCAAGGCACGAUCUCGAUGUCUUAUGCUAAUGACUCUUUUAUGUAUCACUUCAACUUGGAUCCGGACGGAGCUAUAUAUCAGAAAGAUUGGAGUACUUCUAUGAGAACUUGGAGGAUCGGUGUAAGGUUUCCAUACACAGACUGUGAUGCAUAUGCUAGAUGUGGUCCGUACGGGACCUGCCAUACCAAAGAAAACCCGCCUUGUAAAUGCGUUAAAGGGUUUGUACCAAAGAAUAGCACAGAGUGGAGUGGAGGGGUUUGGAGUAAUGGAUGUGUGAGAAAAGCUCCAUUGCUGUGUGAAAGACAGAGAAAUGUGAGUAAUGGUGGUGGUGGUGGUGGAGGAAAGGCAGAUGGGUUUUUCAAACUGCAGAAGAUGAAAGUGCCAGUCUCUGCGGAACGGUCUGAAGCUAAUGAACAAGUUUGUCCUAAAGUCUGUUUAGAUAACUGUUCUUGCACGGCUUAUGCUUAUGAUAGAGGAAUCGGAUGCAUGCUUUGGAGUCGUGACUUAGUUGAUAUGCAAUCAUUUUUGGGAAGUGGCAUUGAUCUUUAUAUUCGAGUUGCACAUUCUGAACUCAGUGAGUGAAAAAUCUCCUAGUGGUUCUCACUUUUUUUCCUCUCCAUUCAAUUUGACUUCACUGACUUUUGUUUGCUCACCAACUCUUAUAGAAAAACACAGCAAUCUAGCAAUUAUGGUCGCAGCACCUGUGAUAGGCGUUGGGCUUAUUGCCGCGGUCUGCAUUGUUUUAGCAUGUCGGAAAUACAAAAAGCGUCCAGCUGGUUAGAGUUUUGUUAAACUUAUACAUGUUGGCUUCAGAUUGUUUCUUUUAUCACAACUUAUUUCUUUCAUUGAUCAUUGCCUUAGCAGAGCCAGUGAAAGAUAGAAGUGCAGAGCUAUUGUUUAAAAGAAUGGAAGCACUUACAAGUGAUAAUGAGUCUGCUUCUAACCAAGUCAAGCUCAAGGAGCUUCCACUAUUUGAUUUUCAAGUUUUAGCAACAUCCACCGAUAACUUCUCUUUAAGAAACAAGCUAGGGCAAGGCGGGUUUGGUCCUGUUUACAAGGUAAAAGCAUUAUACAAGAAUCCAUCUGAAAAGAGAUAUGUGUAUAAAUAACCUCAGACUAAGUGUUUUGUCAUCUUUUUCUCCAGGGAAAAUUGCCAGAAGGGCAAGAAAUUGCAGUGAAGAGGCUCUCACGGAAAUCAGGACAAGGAUUAGAGGAACUUAUGAACGAAGUGGUUGUGAUAUCGAAGCUGCAACAUCGGAAUCUAGUGAAAUUACUUGGAUGUUGCAUUGAAGGUGAAGAAAGGAUGUUAGUCUAUGAAUAUAUGCCAAAGAAAAGCUUGGAUGCAUAUCUAUUUGGUAAAAUUUAUCACCUCUGUUUUCAACUCUGUUUUUCACCAUUUUGCUCUGGAUACUAAUGAUCUUGCUACCUUUUUCUCAGACCCAUUGAAGCAAAAGAUUCUUGAUUGGAAGACUCGGUUCAACAUAAUGGAAGGAAUUUGCAGAGGUCUUUUGUACCUUCACAGAGAUUCAAGACUAAAGAUCAUACACAGAGAUCUAAAAGCCAGCAACAUUUUGUUAGAUGAGAAUCUAAACCCCAAGAUAUCUGAUUUCGGACUUGCAAGAAUUUUCCGAGCGAAUGAAGAUGAAGCUAACACAAGAAGGGUUGUUGGAACGUAGUAAGUAUCCAUUCCCAAAUACAUAAGAAACAUUGUGGUAUGCGGGUUUAUUGAAAUUUUGUUUUUGCAGUGGCUACAUGUCACCAGAAUAUGCAAUGGAAGGUUUCUUUUCAGAAAAAUCAGACGUUUUCAGCUUGGGGGUUAUAUUUCUAGAGAUCAUUAGUGGGAGAAGAAACUCUAGUUCUCACAAGGAAGAGAGUAAUCUGAAUCUUUUGGCUUAUGUAAGUGUACUAAGCAGUGUUUAGUAACUUAUAGUUAAAUUAAGCCAUUGAAACUUACCUCAAAGUGGGUUGUUACAGGCAUGGAAGUUGUGGAACGAUGGUGAGGCUGCCUCUCUAGCAGAUCCAGCCGUCUUUGAUAAGAGUUUUGAGAAAGAGAUAGAGAAAUGUGUUCAUAUUGGACUGUUAUGUGUGCAAGAAGUAGCAAACGAUAGACCUAAUGUUUCAAGCGUGAUAUGGAUGCUAACUACCGAGAAUACAAACCUCGCCGAGCCGAAGCAGCCUGCAUUUAUAGCAAGAAGAGGAGCUUCUGAGGCUGAAUCUUCUGACCAGAGUAGUCAAAAGAUAUCCAUCAAUGAUGUGAGCCUCACAGCUGUAACAGGGCGUUAAUCUCACCCAGCCAAUCUCAGCCUGUUUAUAUAUAAUAAAUCUGUAAUAUAUACGUUUUGAGAAACUCCUAUGUUUACAAAUUUUGUUAUUCUACGUUUGUUCAAUGGUUAGAUGAAUGAAUAAGAGAUGUAUUUCAGAGAAGUUAUUUUUAGAUUCAACUGAGCUUUGUUGAAACUUUACAUAUUCUUAGAUAUGAUCAGAUUUUUGGAAUAAACUAACCUGGAUUAAGAAACUGAACCUGAAGGAAGAGGAGAAGAACAAAAAUCACCCAUGUUCUUGAGAAGCCACAGUAGGGUUUUGUUUUAAGACAAGGAACUAAAACACUAUUAUUAGUUUUGUGUUUUUGGGUAGUUUUGCUAUAGUACAUAGAAACAAACGUGGAUAAUGGAUAAGACUAUAAGAUCAGAAUUGACUUUU